rnacentral:rRNA from 1 species
ACCACUCUUGACAGGGGAUCACUCGGCUCGUGGGU